rnacentral:rRNA from 1 species
UACGGGGGGAGCAAGCGUUGUUCGGAUUUACUGGGCGUAAAGGGCGCGUAGGCGGCGCCGCAAGUCACUUGUGAAAUCUCCGGGCUCAACUCGGAACGGUCAAGUGAUACUGCGGUGCUAGAGUGCGGAAGGGGCAACUGGAAUUCUUGGUGUAGCGGUGAAAUGCGUAGAUAUCAAGAGGAACACCUGCGGCGAAGGCGGGUUGCUGGGCCGACACUGACGCUGAGGCGCGAAAGCUAGGGGAGCGAACGGG